AACGAACGCUGGCGGCAUGCCUAACACAUGCAAGUCGAACGAAGGCUUCGGCCUUAGUGGCGCACGGGUGAGUAACGCGUGGGAACCUGCCCUUUGGUACGGAAUAACAUCGGGAAACUGAUGCUAAUACCGUAUAUGGCUUUGGCUGAAAGAUUUAUCGCCGAAGGAGGGGCCCGCGUCUGAUUAGCUAGUUGGUGAGGUAAUGGCUCACCAAGGCGACGAUCAGUAGCUGGUCUGAGAGGAUGAUCAGCCACACUGGGACUGAGACACGGCCCAGACUCCUACGGGAGGCAGCAGUGGGGAAUAUUGGACAAUGGGGGCAACCCUGAUCCAGCAAUGCCGCGUGAGUGAUGAAGGCCUUCGGGUUGUAAAGCUCUUUUGGCAGGGACGAUGAUGACGGUACCUGCAGAAUAAGCCCCGGCUAACUUCGUGCCAGCCGCCGCCGUAA
rnacentral:rRNA from 1 species